CUCCUUUUGUGGCUCAUAAUUGUGAUGACUGGGUUUUCACACCAUUGUUUGAGAUAUGCCUCCCUCAAAUCUAGUUAUGACAUUGGCAUAUUCCCUAUCUGUUG